AAACCAUGAUGAGGACACUCUAAGAGAAGAUCCUUAAAACGAUCCAUACACCUAGAAAAUGAUUCAUUGGGUUUUUAAAGAAACUGGAGAAUGUCGUUCCUAAGUUU
rfam:Cephalotus follicularis DNA, scaffold: scaffold8613, isolate: St1.